GCAACUCAGGCUAAGAUGAAAGCUGCAGAAUCUACACCAAUCUACACUCCGUACACCGUCAGAAACGAAUAAAGAAGCUUUAAUAACAUCGAUUAACGUUGACCAGCAGAUGUCAUCAGUGAGCAACGUUUGAGAUCAAGUUCUUCAAAGCAGAUGAUGGAGCAGAUAGCUGACCUCGCGCACAGUCAGAGUCAGCUGAAGGAGCUGACCAAGGAGAUGAGACAAUGGCUGGAUGUCGCUGACGAGGAGAUAUCAGAGCUGCGCUCACAGAACACUAGCAUGACAAAGCACAUCAAAAGACUGGAGAAGCUCCUCAGUGAAAAAGCCCACAAUGAAGCAGAGUCAAGCGGGUUACUACGAGGCGAGGACCUUGAUGCAGAUAAAAUCAAUGCGCAAAAGAUGAACAAGAU
rnacentral:lncRNA from 1 species